rnacentral:rRNA from 1 species
GUGCCUACGGGACGCCGCAGUGGGGCCUCUUGCACCCUGGGGGGAACCCUGAUGCAGCGACGCCGCGUGGGUGAAGGAGUAUUUCGGUAUGUAAAGCCCUAUCAGCAGGGAAGAACAAUGACGGUACCUGACUAAGAAGCACCGGCUAAAUACGUGCCAGCAGCCGCGGUAAUACGUAUGGUGCAAGCGUUAUCCGGAUUUACUGAGUGUAAAGGGAGCGCAGGCGGCGCGUUAAGCCUGGUGUGAAAGCCCGCGGCCCAACCGCGGGACUGCAUUGGGAACUGGCGCGCUGGAGUGCCGGAGGG